GUUGCAUUUCCCUGAUGCCUAAGUGUUUCCCACCUUUUCAGAUGCUCAUUUGGUCACUCACAUACCUUCUUUUGUGAGGAGUGUGUGUUCAGCUGUUUUGCCUAUUUUUAAUUUGUUUGCUUUUACUUGUAGUGGCGCCUUAAUCUGGAUGUAAGUUCUUUGUCAGGUAUGUGUUGUGAAUAUUCUCUCCCAGUUUUGUGUCUUCCCUAAUCAUUUCUUAAGAAAAUUUUUGAUGCAGUCCUAUUUAUCACAAAUUAAUAUUUAAUUAAUUUAAUGGUCUGUCUUAAAUGUUUCCUGUCUGUUUGACCAACUUGUCCUUUUUCCGUUAAGAAUCUAGGAUAUUUUCUUCCCCUUUGUUAACACUGAUAUAAUCACCAUGAGGCUUCCUACUAUGAGGACUUUAAAUCUACCAGUUUACUUAGCGAUUAUAAACCUUUGAGUUGACUGAAGAAAAUAGGUAUCUUUGAGGGAAGGUGGUAGAGGGAGAGCGCACGUGGUUCUUCAAUCAAAGUGGUACUGAUCCUCAAAAUACUCAGAGGAAAUGAUAACCGCCUUAAAAUUACAUAAAAAUCCAUGUCUUAUAUGAAAUAGAGAUAGGAAGAAACUAGCUGGAACUCAACCAAAUCAGUAAAGAGAUUCGGCUGAUGAAAUAAUUAAACAAGAAAUUAAAAUUAACUGAACACUUUGUAGCUGAGUGGCACUGAGUUAGCCUCUGUAAAGUGCUUAAGACAUGCCUGGUACAUGGGUAAGUGCAGAGAAAAAGUUAGCUAUUAUUACUACUACUACUAUUUAGAACUUUAAAACAACUCCAAAUAUAUUCUUAAAAUACAGUGAUUAAAAGUGACAGGGGCAUUUUCAACCUAGUGGCAGGCCACCUUAAGUAAAGAUGUGAAUUUUGCCCAUUAAUACCAAUUCCCUAGAAAAUAGAGUAUUUCCAACAAUUUCAACUUUGUCUGAAAUACUCUCCAGCUAUAGAGAGCUAGUGGGAAUCUACAAAGAUUCAGUGUUUCUAAAGCCUGGCACGUAAACUUCUACAAGAAGCAGGACAUGGUACCAGAGAACCUAAGUGCGCUGGCCACUCACUUAGCGUUGAGCAAACAAAGACAGCAAGAGGAUCACAGUUUAGAAAAGGGAUCGGACUUCCAGUGCUCACCUGAUAGUCAGCCUUUUUAAGAUUUUUCCUCCCCCAUUUUCGAACUUUAGAAGUAGACUUGAAGAGUCUUACUGUAUUUUCGUUUAGUGAUUAAGCCCCAGAAAACCCAUUCUAUUUCUCAUAUAUUCCUCUAUAAGAUUUGAAGCACAUUCCUCCUGGUGAGUUACUCUGUUUCUUUAAAGAUUGUGGCAUGUGUCUUAGCAAGUGGGGUUACAGACAGAACUGGGCGGGAGCAACCAAGAACAAAAGAGCUGUAAGAAAACCCCCAGCCAUCCUGAGAGACCACUCCUUUCUGGUCGGUCAUUGUUCCAAUGAUGAGUUAGUUAAAUGGCUAUUUUAAGACGAGCUUGUUGUCAUGGUGACUGCCCCAAGCUAUUCAGGAGUUCGGACUACACCAUGAGAGCACUGUCUAUGAAUUAUCUCCCAACAUGUGGGUGGUCUCAGGAAAACAAUGGUGUACGCUUUUUUUUUCUUUAAAGAGACCUUUUCAUUGUGAAUGUUCUUAAUUUCCCAAAUUUAGAUGCUCAAGUUGGUAUUGUCUUUUCUUCGAAACUGUUGGGACCAUUCACGAAGGGAAUGAUUUGCAGCCUUUGGGAACAGCAUACUACCAAUCCUUUGCCAUCUGAGCUUCGGGUUCCUGUCUGCAAUGGCCCAGGGGCACCAUUACAGGCUCUUCCUCCUGCCUCAACCCAAUUUAAAAGGCAUAGUUCCAUUUAAGAUUAUCUUUAUUGAAGUAACCAAUCAUAAUAUCACAAAUGCUUUACGGACCUCGGGGGAAGAUGAUGGAAGAGUAAGGCACGGAGAUCACCUUCCUCCCCACAGAUACACCAGAAAUACAUCUACACGUGGAACAACUCCUACAGACCACCUACUGAACGCUGGCA